AGCUGGUACGCAGAAUCGAACUGCGACCUAAGGAUUUGCAAUCCCCUAUCCUACCUGAUUAGACCAUAGGAGC
rnacentral:tRNA from 1 species